GUGUCAGCAGCCGCGGUAAUACGGAGGGUGCAAGCGUUAUCCGGAUUCACUGGGUUUAAAGGGAGCGCAGGCGGGCAUGUAAGUCCGUGGUGAAAUACCUCAGCUUAACUGAGGAACUGCCAUGGAUACUAUAUGUCUUGAAUGUUGUGGAGGUUUGCGGAAUAGGUCAUGUAGCGGUGAAAUGCAUAGAUAUGACCUAGAACACCAAUUGCGAAGGCAGCAGGCUACACAAAUAUUGACGCUGAGGCUCGAAAGCGUGGGGAUCAAACAGGAUUAGAAACCCGCGUAGUCC
rnacentral:rRNA from 1 species